rnacentral:rRNA from 1 species
GGAAAACACACAGCAGGUUGGCUUUCACCCGUCCCCACAGCAGUUUUUGUUGCGUUGCGUUGGCAUCUUCCUCAGAAGAAGAACCCAUCCAUACCUGCCAUUGUUGACUUAUUUCGGCAAAGGCGCACCGGAAGAAGAACGCCUCUUCGGAAGCUGCCGAGCUCACCAACUCCAUCAUUGCUGCCAAGUCUGAAACCCUUUGCCUCAUAAUUCUGUCGACGCUCUCGGAUUUCUCGGACCGCUCCCCACUUAUCACUGAUAAGUAAGUUCGUUCCGACCUUGUGCUCUUGGUUGCUGCACUUCACACAUGUUUUGUCACGAUUCGUGCUGCGGUUUUGGAAAUUCGGACUGACGAUUGGGGUUUGGCUUUGGACGGAUGAUUUCUGGGUUGAAGCGGAUGAUCGGUAGGUCUGAUACCCAGGUUGAUAGAAAGGGGGAUUUUGCUACCCGUACCUGCGACCGGGAGCAUGCAUGCCAUUUGUUUGUGGAAUUGCGACAGCAGGGAACUGAUUCUUGAAUUCUUGCAAGAAAAGGCUUCGUCGGUGUGGUGAUUCGACUCUAUCAGGAGUUGUUUUGGUGCCCUGAGGCGAAGCCAUGGACGUCGUGCAAACAAUCGCCUCGGCCGCGCAGCUGGUGUCUGCAAUGGUGUCCGCGGUGGGAGCGCUGGAGCAGGCGGCCGCGGACGCCGCUGAGGCUCCAAGGAGGCUCCAGGUGCUCGAGGACUUCGUGUCGGACCUUGAGGUGUUGGUGCAGCAGGCUAAGCAGAAGCACGCGCACAAGAUGCACGGCCCGCAGCUGGAGCGCCAGUUUCAGAGCUUGAGCAGGCUCAUGGAUCAGCUCCGUGCCAAUAUCAUCAAGGCGAGGCGAGCCUUGAAGAAAGGGAAAGGGAAGGGCUUGGCUAGGGUGGUUUGGAGCUCGGUGGUGGGAGACCCCCUCAUGAAGUACAUUCAGCUGAUCAGAGAUGACCUCAACUGGUGGCUGGAAUUGCAGAAGUUGACAGAGAACGUAGGCAAAGCUAUAGCGUCUACUGCUAAGGCCACGCCAUCGUUGGUCAGAGUCAAGUCUGAGCAGGGCUAUCCAGUGUCAGAGAAGUGUGGCUAUGUUAGGGACAUUUUGGAGAGAGAUGAUGGUCAUCGAGUUGUCCUGAUUGUUGGAUUAUCUGGUAUUGGGAAGUCGUGCCUCGCUCGACAAAUAGCUUCUCAGCCGCCUGGUAAUUUUGUGGAUGGCGCAAUUGAGCUCAGUUUUGGCCGGUGGUGCAGUAGAGCAGCUUGUAAUGGAAGCAGAAGUGAGUACCAUAAACGUCUUGUUAGGAAGAUAAGCAAAUUGCUAGUGCAGAUUGGUUCCAUGACUGUCAACGAGGACACGAGCAAAGAUCUUGAAGAUGUGUGUUGCUUACUUCAGAACGCGUUGGUUGGAAAGAGUAUGUUAAUACUACUCGAUGACGUCUGGGAGCAAGACAUAGUUGAUCGCUUCACCAAGCUAUAUGGUAAUGGUUGCCGGUAUCUUGUGACAACAAGGGAUGAAGCAGUUUAUGAGAUAGCAGAAGCUGAAAAGGUAGAAAUAUCCAAAGAUGACAUCAAGAAAAUCAGCAAGGGCAUUCUUCUCUAUCAUAGUCUGCUUAGUGCUGAAGAGCUUCCGCCUGUUGCAGACGACUUGCUGGACAGUUGUGGGCACCAUCCCCUUACAGUUGCUGUCUUAGGUAAGGCCCUAAGGAAGGAGACCAGAAUGGAAAAAUGGGAGAAAGCAAUAUCCAACCUUUCCACAUAUGCAACUUGUGCACCAGGUCCAGUUUCAUAUGUGAACGAGAAAGAAGUUGAGACCACCUUGACCAUAUUUGGAUCUUUUGAGUUCAGCUUGGAAGCAAUGCCUGAAAAUUCACGAAGGUUUUUCAUGGUUCUCGCAGCUAUUUCAUGGGAAGAACCUGUUCCAGAGGCAUGCCUUGAAUCCGUCUGGUCAGCACUUGUGCAGGACAGUUUAUUCCCUAUUGUGGUUUCAAAACUAGUAGAAGGCUCACUCAUCAUCAAACUGGAAUACCAAUCGAUGUAUCAUAUGCAUGACAUGGUUUUUCUCUACCUUGAGAACAAAGCAAAUGAUGCUGCUCAUACUCUUCUGACCGAUUCAUUUCCUGAGUAUGCUGCAUUGGUGGCUCCUUGGCUUUUUAUUUUUGGCAAAGAGACCGUGAAAGGGCCAGCUGAGCAGAAGAUGAGAUCAUUCUUUUCUUUGCUAGAGUUCAUGGAGAUUGAAAUCUUACUGGGAAGCACCACCCAAGCUCUCAUGGCAUGCAAAUCAAUACCUGAAUUUGAGGCUAGCAGGCUUGGCUUUAGCAAAAUGCUUGGACCUCGAAUAGCGGAGCUAAUUUCUGUUGGGUCACAAGCUCUUAUUGUUGCUGUCACUAAAGCUAUUACAGUCGUCUUUUUCCAAGGAGACUAUGCAAAUCUCGCCCAAUCUAUUGAAACAGCAGGUUCUGUUGAUAAAUUAAUAUGUGUUCUUCGUGGCUAUGUGGAUUCUUCAUCUCUAGCCAACGUUUCUGCUGUUCUUGCCAAGGUAUCUGAGCAUGUCAGUGCCAAAACUGCCGACGAAAUUUUGUCAAGCAUUCCCAUGGACAAAAUUGCAGAACUACUGUCUCCAGAAAAUGACGAGUGGCAUGAAAUUGUGUUCACAACUCUAGCAUCACUGAUAAAAGUGGGAAAUUUAAUGGCUGUCGAGAUAAUGAUCGAAGCAGGAGUUGACAAGAAGCUCCUUGUACUUUUAGGUUGCAGUUCUGAGAUCUCACAGCAUCAUGCAAUUAUCAUGCUGAAAACUUUCUGUGAGCUUGGUGCGCCACUUAAAGAGUGCAUGGGGCCUGGACUGUUGAUUCAUUUGCCAUGGCAUGCUCGGCUUGCCUUGGAGAGGUUUGUUUUAUCUGACCAAAAUGUAGCCCCAUCACCGAAGCCUCAAUAUUUUGAGGUGCUUCUUCACAGGAUUCUACAGACAGACAGCAAAGAUAUCAUUGAAGCUAUCCAAGGUUUAUUACCUCUUGCUGAGAGGGCUAACGAUCCUAGGGUGCAAGAUCUUCUUUUGGGAAGCAAUCUGUGUGAUAGGUUGGCAUUUCUGCUGCAGCGCAGAGAACCCGAAAACAACCAAGUGAGGUCUCAGACUGCCUUUCUGGUAAUGAAAUUGGCCUGCACCGGAGCAGAGCCAUACAUCCGUAGGUUCUUGGAGCUUAAUAUUGUGCACGAGCUCAUUGCCAUGAUGCAGUCCUCUACCAAUGACCUCCAGGAUUCAGCAUACCAUGCUCUCCAUCAAAUCGUGUAUGCAAAGGGAGGAUCACUAGUCUUGCAGAGGUUUUUACAACUAGGAACUAUAGAAAAAUUGGUCAAUCUGCUCGACCGUAAGUGCGUCAAGACAAAGGACCUCACGGUGCAACUUCUGGUGGACAUUGUGGCAGUCGGAACCAAACCCUGCAUACAAAGAAUGCUCUCUUCCCAAGUCAUCGAGAAACUUGUUUCCCUUGAGAAAGCAGGUGGGUCUUUCAGCGGGUCAGUGUCAAGAUAUAUCCACGGAUUGAACAUGUGCGAGAAUAUCCAGUCUGCUGAGAGAGCAGUGAUGAAGCAGCAUAUUUUGAGGAAAGUGAGAUCGGCGGUGAGAGGGCAUGAUCUGGAGACGAGUCUAAUUGCUUCUGUGGAGGUCUGCGUUUCUGAAGGCACAAAAGGAGCCAGCAGUAGCAGGAGAAACAAGUAGCAUUAUGCUGCAAACUUCAGUACUUGAAACAUACAUAUAAUCUUUGUUUUGAAAAGAGAAACAUAUAUAGGUUAAGAUGCUGCAAAUUCAGAUAAGAGCUUAUUCAUCAAUAUUUUGAUAGGCGUUCCUUUUUCCAGUACACGAGUUGUUUUCCUAUAGAAAGAGAGAAGAUCAUGAAAGCUCAUACUGUCGCACUGUCCAUGGGUAGUUCUGCAUAACUAGUCUGAGCAAUUAUCCAUAUCCACAUCAGCCCCGGCGUACAAAUUAACAGAAGUAAGUUGCCACGUUCAGUACAUGUCCACAGUCCACAGACCAAAGCAGUCAAGUCUAUUGUGUUAAUGGACUGUGGUCUUCUACCGAAGUUCCUUAACCUUGUAAGAGAAGCAUUGCCUGGUACAGUUUUUGUGCCUAUUAGAGCAUCUCUAGCCGAUCCCCUAAGGCUGGCCCCAAUGGGGAGUAACAUAGAGUAGUAACAUACAUGCCACGUAAGCAUGUUACUACUCUAUGUUACUACCUCCACAGUGGGUGGUAACUUAUGGGUGGUAACUUAGAGGGUUUAUUUAUUGCUUUUGUGGGAUCUAUAGUAGUAGUUCAACUUUGUGAUCUAUAUGUGGCAUGUAUCAACAAAAUUUGUGUUUUCCGAUACUUAUGGAUAAAUAAAAGAACACAAAUUUUGAUCAUAACAA